rnacentral:rRNA from 1 species
CCCCUAGAAGUUCUGGGCCGCACGCGUGCUACACUGAGUGGAUCAGCGGGUCAGGUUGCGCGAAAGCGUUUCCUAAUCUUUAAAUCUGCUCGUGAUGGGGAUUGACGGUUGCAAUUUUCUGUCAUGAACGAGGAAUACCUUGUAAGCGCGGGUCAUCAUCCCGCGCUGAAUACGUCCCUGCCCUUUGUACACACCGCCCGUCGCUCCUACCGAUUGAGUGGUCCGGUGAGGCUUUGGGAUCUGAGCGGAAAGAGCGUUUCGCUGUUUCUGCUCGGAAAACUCAGUCGAACCUUAUCAUUUAGAGGAAGGAGAAGUCGUAACA